rnacentral:lncRNA from 1 species
UUUUGCAGGACCCCAUUCGAUGCAGGCUUUGUCAUGGCUUGGUGCUUGGCAAAGCCCUCGCAAUCAACCACUUGUGCAGAAGUGGUAUAAUAGGUGCUAAGGUAACUUACAAAGAGGGGGAGAGAGAACAAUAGUUUUGGGUUUUGAGAGGUGUGAGAUUGUAGAGGAAGAGAGAGGAGAUCGGCUGGUUUACAGAUCUACUUGGAAAAAUAAAAAGGUAUUUGGGUUUGGGAUUGUAGAGGAAGAGAGAAGAGAUCGGCUGGGCUGGAAGAUGGUGAAGGAAGAGAUUUGCAGAAUAAACCUACCAUAAAUUGGGGCAUUUGCUUCUGUUUCUACAGUAUCUGGUUUGGUUAAUGCCGCUAUUUAUCUAUGAUUUACCUGGUUUUUCUUCCGGCUAUGCUCUUUGCUAUGAGAAAUGCAGUACGUUGAUGGUUGAUGCCUUACACAGAGAUGAGAGAUUCUCUCGUCCGUGGUGGGGCAGGGCAAAUUGGAUGAUGGGAGAUCAGAGCGUGUAAACUGGGUUCCAU